rnacentral:rRNA from 1 species
UUGAGCAUCAAACUUUUAAAUUGAAGAGUUUGAUCAUGGCUCAGAUUGAACGCUGGCGGCAGGCCUAACACAUGCAAGUCGAACGGUAACAGGAAACAGCUUGCUGUUUCGCUGACGAGUGGCGG